rnacentral:rRNA from 1 species
AUCGAACGCUGGCGGCAGGCUUAACACAUGCAAGUCGAGCGGAGAUGAGGUGCUUGCACCUUAUCUUAGCGGCGGACGGGUGAGUAAUGCUUAGGAAUCUGCCUAUUAGUGGGGGACAACAUUCCGAAAGGAAUGCUAAUACCGCAUAAGCCCUACGGGGGAAAGCAGGGGAUCUUCGGACCUUGCGCUAAUAGAUGAGCCUAAGUCGGAUUAGCUAGUUGGUGGGGUAAAGGCCUACCAAGGCGACGAUCUGUAGCGGGUCUGAGAGGAUGAUCCGCCACACUGGGACUGAGACACGGCCCAGACUCCUACGGGAGGCAGCAGUGGGGAAUAUUGGACAAUGGGCGGAAGCCUGAUCCAGCCAUGCCGCGUGUGUGAAGAAGGCCUUUUGGUUGUAAAGCACUUUAAGCGAGGAGGAGGCUACCUGGAUUAAUACUCUAGGAUAGUGGACGUUACUCGCAGAAUAAGCACCGGCUAACUCUGUGCCAGCAGCCGCCGUAAAAC